AUGGCCGGCAGCCCAGCGCCGUUGCAUAAGAUGGCCGCCAGCUCAGUGCCACAGCACAAGAUGGCCGCAAGCACAGAGCCACUACCCAGGAUGCCCGCCAGUCCAGCACCACUGCCCAAAAUGGCCACCGGUCCAGCGCCACGGCCAAAGAUGGCCGCCAGUCCAGAGUCAUGGCACAAGAUGGCUGCUUGCCCAACGACUCUGCACAGGAUGACAGCCACAGCUGACCUUCCAGAGUUGAGUCAGGUUCCCGUGAACCCUCCAGAGUCGAGUCAGUUUCCCGUUGACCCUCCAGAGUUGAGUCAGUGUCUGGUUGUCCCUCCAGAGUCAAGUCAGGUUCCUGGUGACCCUCCAGAGUCGAGUCAGGUUCCUGUUGACCAUCCAGAGUCGAGUCACGUUCCAGUUGAUCCUCCUGAAUCAAGUCAGAUUCCUGUUGACCUUCCAGAGUCGAGUCAGGUGCCCACUGACUUUCCAGAGUUGAGUCAGGUUCCGGUUGACCCUCCAGAGUCGAGUCAGGUGCUUGUGGACCCUCCAGAGUCGAGUCAGGUGCUCAAGGACCCUCCAAAGUCAGGGUUAGUCACCGUUGACCUUCCAGAGUCAGAGUUAGUCACCGUUGACCUUCCAGAGUCAGGGUUAGUCACCGUUGACCUUCCAGAGUCAGGGCUAGUUCCUGUUGACCUUCUAGAGUCGAGUCAAAUUCCAGUUGACUAUCCAGAGUGGAGUCAGACUCCUGUUGACCAUCCAGAGUCAAGUCACGUUCCAGUUGAUCCUCCUGAAUCAAGUCAGAUUCCUGUUGACCUUCCAGAGUCGAGUCAGGUGCCCUUUGACUUUCUUGAGUUGAGUCAGGUUCCGGUUGGCCCUUCAGAGUCGAUUCAGGUGCUCAUGGACCCUCCAGAGUGGAGUCAGGUGCUCAUUGACCCUCCAGAAUCGAGUCAGGUGCUCGUGGACCUUCCAGAGUCAGGGUUAGUCACCUUUGACCUUCCAGAGUCAGGGUUAGUCACCUUUGACCUUCCAGAAUUAUGGCUAGUCACCGUUGACCUUCCAGAGUCAGGACUAGUCACCAUGGACUUUCCAGAGACAAGGCUAGUCACCGUUGACCUUUCAGGGUCAAGUCAAGUCACUGGUGAUCUUCAAGGACAGAGUCAAGUCACUGGUGAUCUUCAAGGACAGAGUCAAGUCACUGGUGAUCUUCAAGGACAGAGUAAAGUCACUGGUGAUUUUAAAGGACAGAGUCAAGUCACUGGUGAUCUUCAAGGACAGAGUCAAGUCACUGGUGAUCUUCAAGGACAGAGUCAAGUCACUGGUGAUCUUCAAGGACAGAGUCAAGUCACUGGUGAUCUUCAAGGACAGAGUCAAGUCACUGGUGAUCUUCAAGGACAGAGUCAAGUCACUGGUGAUUUUCAAGGACUGAGUCAAGUCACCGGUGAUCUUCAUGAACAAAGGCAAGUCACUGGUGAUUUUCAAGGACUGAGUCAAGUCACCGGUGAUCUUCAUGAACAAAGGCAAGUCACCACUGAUCUUCAUGAACAAAGGUAA
rnacentral:lncRNA from 1 species